CGCGGCCUAUCAGCUUGUUGGCGGGGUAAUGGCCCACCAAGGCUUCGACGGGUAGCCGGCCUGAGAGGGCGACCGGCCACACUGGGACUGAGACACGGCCCAGACUCCUACGGGAGGCAGCAGUGGGGAAUAUUGCACAAUGGGCGAAAGCCUGAUGCAGCGACGCCGCGUGAGGGAAGACGGCCUUCGGGUUGUAAACCUCUUUCAGCAGGGACGAAGCGAAAGUGACGGUACCGGCAGAAGAAGCGCCGGCCAACUACGUGCCAGCAGCCGCGGUAAGACGUAAGGCGCAAGCGUUGUCCGGAAUUAUUGGGCGUAAAGAGCUCGUAGGCGGCUUGUCGCGUCGACUGUGAAAACCCACGGCUCAACCGUGUGGCCUGCAGUCGAUACGGGCAGGCUAGAAUUCGGUAGGGGAGACUGGAAUUCCUGGUGUAGCGGUGAAAUGCGCAGAUAUCAGGAGGAACACCGGUGGCGAAGGCGGGUCUCUGGGCCGAUAUUGACGCUGAGGAGCGAAAGCGUGGGGAGCGAACAGGAUUAGAUACCCUGGUAGUCCACGCCGUAAACGUUGGGCGCUAGGUGUGGGGGGCCUCUCCGGUCCUCUGUGCCGCAGCUAACGCAUUAAGCGCCCCGCCUGGGGAGUACGGA
rnacentral:rRNA from 1 species